rnacentral:piRNA from 1 species
CUGCAUGGAAUGAACAAAGGCUG